GACAGAGGGUGCAAACGUUGUUCGGAAUUACUGGGCAUAAAGAGCACGUAGGUGGUCUGCUAAGUCGUGUGUGAAAUCCCCCGGCUCAACCGGGGAAUUGCGCUCGAUACUGGCAGGCUCGAGGUGGGUAGGGGUGAGCGGAACUGCGAGUGCAGAGGUGAAAUUCGUAGAUAUUCGCAAGAACACCAGUGGCGAAGGCGGCUCACUGGCCCGAUACUGACGCUGAGGCACGAAAGCGUGGGGAGCAAACAGG
rnacentral:rRNA from 1 species